rnacentral:rRNA from 1 species
UGGGGAAUUUUGCACAAUGGGGGAAACCCUGAUGCAGCGACGCCGCGUGAUUUAGAAGGCCUUCGGGUUGUAAAAAUCUUUUGUAUAGGAAGAAAAUGACAGUACUAUACGAAUAAGGACCGGCUAAUUACGUGCCAGCAGCCGCGGUAAUACGUAAGGUCCGAGCGUUGUCCGGAAUCAUUGGGCGUAAAGGGUACGUAGGCGGGUAAGCAAGUUAGAAGUGAAAUCCUAUAGCUCAACUAUAGUAAGCUUUUAAAACUGCUCAUCUUGAGGUAUGGAAGGGAAAGUGGAAUUCCUAGUGUAGCGGUGAAAUGCGCAGAUAUUAGGAGGAAUACCGGUGGCGAAAGCGGCUCUCUGGUCUGUAACUGACGCUGAGGCUCGAAAGCGUGGGGAGCGAACAGG